rnacentral:misc_RNA from 1 species
GAUGAAGAACGCAGCGAAAUGCGAUAAGUAAUGUGAAUUGCAGAAUUCAGUGAAUCAUCGAAUCUUUGAACGCACAUUGCGCCCCCUGGUAUUCCGGGGGGCACACCUGUCCGAGCGCCAUUUCAACCCUCAAGCUUUGCUUGGUGAUGGGGACCGCCUGAGGGCGGCCCCGAAACAUGUGGGCGCCGACGACCGGCCCUGAGCGUAGCAAAACCCUCGCUCGGGACCCCGGCCGGCGGCCGCCCGGAUUCAAACUUUAAGGUUGGCCUCGGAUCAGGUGGGGAUACCCGCUGAACUUAAGCAUAUCAAUAAGCGGAGG